ensembl:processed_transcript Gm21982 predicted gene 21982
GUGACAGCCAUGGAACUAACGCAGAAAGAGCGGGAACUGAGUCGCUGGGCUGCUGAAGAGAUGGAGGUGCCCCUAGCAGCUCGCCCCCGGGAGUCGACGCUGCGUAGGCUGUGUCUGAGUCAGGGCGCUGACAUCUGGGCCUACAUUGUGCAGCAUGUGCGUAGUCAGAGGAAUAUCAAGACGAUCCAGGGAAACCUCCUCUGGCAUGCCUAUCAGGACAAUCCAAAGAUCCAUCGGAAGUUGGAGCUGGAAGCCACUGUGGCCCGCCUUCGGGCAGAGAACCAAGAGCUAGACCAGAGCCUGGAGCUGAUGGAUCAAGAGUCUGAAGCUCAGGAUGUAGCUAUGACACAGACACUGCAGAGCCUGAAAGACACCCAGCAUCGAGCUCUUCUCCUCCAGGCCCAAGCUGGGGCUGUACGAAGACAGCAACGUGGGUUGCAAGACCCCAUGCAGCGGCUGCAGAAUCAGCUCAAACGUCUGCAGGACAUGCAAAGGAAAGCCAAAGUGGAUGUGACCUUUGGACCUGUGGUGUCAGCAGCCCCAGCCCUAGAGCCUGAGGUGUUGGGUGAUGUCCGGGCUGCCUGCACCCUCCGAACUCAAUUCCUGCAGAACCUUCUGACUCCCCGGGCCAGGGGAGGCAGCAUCCUAAGCCCUUGUGAUGACCACGUUGGAACAUCCUAUCAGCAGUGGCUGACCUCAGUUGAGGUGAGAGGGCAAGGCUCCCAGGAAAGGGUACCUCCUCCUCCUCCAUGAUGAAAUUCCAGUGCCUCAGAGGCCUGGCUUACAUCCCUGCACCAUCAUUCUGCCCUGCCUUCCUACCUGUCCCUUCAGACACUGCUGACAAACCACCCUGCGGGCCACGUCCUGGCCGCCUUGGAGUACCUGGCUGCAGAGCGGGAGUCAGAGAUCCGGUCCCUGUGUUAUGGGGAUGGGCUCAAAGAAGAGGAGCUGUCCAGGUGUGGAGUGAAUGUUCCCAUAGCCGGGAAAAGGCACAGUGAACUGCAGAUUGCGUGGAACUGAAUGCCAGCCAGUCACAGGGGAAGGGAACACUGAUAUUGACUACCGAAACUUAUCAAUACAAAGAGGCUGCUCCCUCAACUGCUCUGUCCCCACCACAGGCCUCAGGCACCAGAAUCUUCAAAUUCCAGCCAGGUUCUGCCGUCCACUGUUCAUCUCAUCCAGGAGGGCUGGCAGGCUGUAGGUGCAUUGGUUACCCAGAGGAGUGCACUCCUGAGUGAGAGGCAAGUCCUGACUGGCCGCCUCCAGCGCCUAGUGGAGGAGGUGAAGAGACUUUUGCUGGGAUCCAGUGAGAGGAAAGUCCUGCUGCUGGGGCUUAGGCACAGUGGUCUACUGGCAGAGCUCAAGGCUCUUCAUGCCCAGAGCCAGGAACUGGAGAGUGCAGUUGGACAGCGGCAUCUUCUGCUGCGGGAGCUGCAGGCCAAGAGGCAGCGGAUCCUACAGUGGCGUCAGCUGGUGGAGGACAGGCAGGAACAGAUCCGUCUGCUCAUCAAGGGAAACUCAGCCAGCAAAACUCGCCUGAGCCGGGGUCCAGAGGAGGUAAGGUGAAUGUUGGGCAAGGCUUGGCAGGCCCUGGCUGCCCUGCCUGCCCUGGCUGCCCUGGCUGCCCUGCCUGCCGGCUCCAUCCCACAGGUGUUGGCCCUGAUUGACCAGAAGCUUGUCCCCACCUCUGAAGCUGUGGCACCACAGAGCCAGGAACUACUGCGAUGCUUGAAGGAAGAAGCCAAACACCUGCCCCGAGUUCUCCUGGGCCCCCUGCUGCCAUACCAUGUCAAAGGGCUGAAGCCGUUAUCCAGGAUUCUACCAUCCAUCCAUCAGCUGCACCCCACUAACCCAAGGGGCUCCAGCCUCAUCUUGCUGAGUCACACACUGGGACUGCCUGUGGGGAAAGCAUCUGAACUACUGCUUCCAAGGGCUGCCUCUCUCCAACAAGAUCUUCUGUUUCUCCAAGACCAGUUGGGUCUCCGAAGAGGAAAUCUCUGUGUGAAGACCAGUCUGCCUCUGGGACCAUCCACCCAGGAGCUGCUGCAGAUGCAGGUGUCCCAGGAAAAGGAGCAGAAUGAGAACGUGGGGCAGACCCUGAAGAAACUGUCAAAUCUGCUGAAACAGGCACUGGAGCAAAUCCCUGAGCUACAGGGGAUCGUUCAGGACUGCGCAUCCGUCGCGGUAGUCCAUACGUCAUCGGCCGGCUCCCACCCUGAGACGACAGGGACUCGACCGUAGAACCCGCUGCGGCUGCUGGAAGGAGCGGUGAAGGCUAUGGCAUCAGCGAUGGCCGGAGCAGGGCCGGCUCCGGGACUCCCGGUGGCGGGAGGGCCGGUGGUCCCGGGGCCUGGUGUCGGCAUCCCGGGCAAGAGCGGCGAGGAACGCUUGAAAGAAAUGGAGGCGGAGAUGGCCCUGUUUGAGCAAGAAGUAUUGGGAGCUCCGGUGACCGGAAUCCCAACUGCUGUGCCUGCGGUGCCCACGGUAGAAGCGAUGCAGGUCCCCCCAGCUCCUGUGAUCCGCCCAAUUAUCGCCACCAACACAUACCAACAGGUCCAACAGACUCUGGAGGCCAGGGCAGCUGCUGCAGCCACAGUUGUUCCUCCCAUGGUGGGAGGCCCUCCUUUUGUGGGCCCAGUUGGCUUUGGCCCUGCCGAUCGUGGUCACCUGGACAGUCCUGAGGCUCGAGAGGCCAUGUUCCUGAGGCGAGCAGCUGUGGCCCCUCAGAGGGCCCCUAUCCUGCGUCCUGCCUUCGUCCCCCACGUGCUACAGAGAGCAGAUUCUGCCCUUUCCUCUGCAGCUGGUGGCCCCCGACCUAUGGCCCUGAGGCCUCCACACCAGGCCCUGGUUGGACCCCCUCUGCCUGGGCCUCCUGGACCACCCAUGAUGCUGCCACCAAUGGCUCGGGCACCUGGACCACCCCUGGGUUCUAUGGCUGCUCUGAGACCUCCCCUGGAAGAGCCAGCAGCUCCACGAGAGCUAGGCCUAGGCCUUGGUUUGGGCCUGAAGGACAAGGAAGAGGCAGUAGUGGCCGCAGCGGCUGGGCUGGAGGAAGCUAGCGCAGCAGUGGCAGUGGGGGCAGGAGGAGCCCCAGCUGGGCCUGCAGUCAUUGGCCCCAGCCUCCCGCUGGCCCUCGCCAUGCCCUUGCCUGAGCCUGAGCCCUUGCCCCUCCCACUGGAGGUCGUACGUGGCCUGCUGCCUCCGCUGAGAAUUCCUGAGCUCUUGUCUCUCCGUCCACGACCUCGGCCCCCUCGGCCUGAGCCUCCUCCUGGCCUCAUGGCCCUAGAGGUGCCAGAGCCACUGGGUGAAGACAAGAAGAAAGGCAAGCCAGAGAAACUGAAACGCUGCAUUCGCACAGCAGCGGGGAGCAGCUGGGAGGACCCCAGCCUGCUGGAGUGGGAUGCCGAUGACUUCCGGAUCUUCUGCGGGGAUCUGGGCAAUGAGGUGAACGAUGACAUCUUGGCACGAGCCUUCAGCCGCUUCCCAUCCUUCCUUAAGGCUAAGGUGAUCCGUGACAAGCGCACAGGCAAAACCAAGGGCUAUGGCUUUGUCAGCUUCAAAGACCCCAGUGACUAUGUGCGCGCCAUGCGAGAGAUGAAUGGGAAGUAUGUGGGCUCACGCCCCAUCAAGCUUCGCAAAAGCAUGUGGAAGGACCGGAACCUGGAUGUGGUCCGUAAGAAGCAGAAGGAAAAGAAAAAGUUGGGCCUCAGAUAGGAUCUGUGGCUAAGCACCCGCUCCCACCCGGCUGUGCGCUAGCUCCUUUCAACAGUUGUCCACUCGCCUGUCCCAAAACCAGUUUCAAUAAAUUACCUUCAUUUCCA